CGCGUAGGCGGAUAUUACAGUCAGGCGUGAAAUUCCUGGGCUCAACCUGGGGGCUGCGUUUGAUACGUGAUGUCUGGAGUUCGGAAGAGGGUCGUGGAAUUCCCAGUGUAGAGGUGAAAUUCGUAGAUAUUGGGAAGAACACCGGUGGCGAAGGCGGCGACCUGGUCCGAUACUGACGCUGAGGCGCGAAAGCGUGGGGAGCAAACAGGAUUAGAUACCCUGGUAGUCCACGCUGUAAACGAUGUGCGCUGGAUGUUGGGUGACAUAGUCAUUCAGUGUCGUAGCUAACGCGAUAAGCGCACCGCCUGGGGAGUACGGCCGCAAGGUUGAA
rnacentral:rRNA from 1 species